rnacentral:rRNA from 1 species
CAUAGAGGGUGAGAAUCCCGUAUUUGGUUAUUCUUUCUAGCUUUGUGAUACACUUUCAAAGAGUCGGAUUGUUUGGGAAUGCAGUCCAAAAUGGGUGGUAAAUUUCAUCUAAAGCUAAAUAUUGGCGAGAGACCGAUAGCGAACAAGUACCGUGAGGGAAAGAUGAAAAGAACUUUGAAAAGAGAGUUAAACAGUACGUGAAAUUGUCAAAAGGGAAGCGUUUGACACCAGUGUUGUUUUUCCGAAAAUCAAUUACGAAUGGCUUGAUUUUGUGUUGUAUUGACCUUAUCAGCUUUCUUCACUCUUUUUCGAGUCUUUCUUAAUGCACUUUUCGGUUAACAAGUCAACAUCAAUUUCUUUUGUUGUAAAAGGGUAUUUGGAAGGUGGCUUUCUUUUCGGAGAAAGUGUUUAUAGCCUUAUACCUCUACAAUCGGAGAGAUUGAGGUCUGCAGCGUAGAUCCUUCGGGGCUAGAUACACUUGUGCUAAGUUAUAGCUUUUCAUAGACAACUUGUUGACUAUGUUUAGUCAUGUAGCUUACCCGCUUGUGCUAUUUUACCUACGCUUAGGAUGUUGAA